GAUACUUGAUCAUCCAUAUUCAAUAAAACAUUAUUUCCGUCAUUAUAUUUAAGAAAAACAAACAUAACUUCUUUUGAAAUCACCAACGUCUAUAUCACCCUGCUGACCAGGCCUGCAAAAAGUUUCCAACCCAGCGUACACAUGAAGCAAACCAAAAUGUCAGUUCACUGCUAGCAUGUGACUGUAAGCCUACUGUGUCCGUUCAACCACUGCCGCCUGACUCGUGCCGGUCGGCUGCUGGAGAAUGCGAGACGUGAAAAAAUGAGCUACACU